rnacentral:rRNA from 1 species
AUUGAACGCUGGCGGCAGGCCUAACACAUGCAAGUCGAGCGGCAGCGGGAAGUAGCUUGCUACUUUGCCGGCGAGCGGCGGACGGGUGAGUAAUGUCUGGGAAACUGCCUGAUGGAGGGGGAUAACUACUGGAAACGGUAGCUAAUACCGCAUAACGUCGCAAGACCAAAGAGGGGGACCUUCGGGCCUCUUGCCAUCAGAUGUGCCCAGAUGGGAUUAGCUGGCAGGUAGGGUAAUGGCCUACCUGGGCGACGAUCCCUAGCUGGUCUGAGAGGAUGACCAGCCACACUGGAACUGAGACACGGUCCAGACUCCUACGGGAGGCAGCAGUGGGGAAUAUUGCACAAUGGGCGCAAGCCUGAUGCAGCCAUGCCGCGUGUGUGAAGAAGGCCUUCGGGUUGUAAAGCACUUUCAGCGAGGAGGAAGGCAGUGAGGUUAAUAACCUUACUGAUUGACGUUACUCGCAGAAGAAGCACCGGCUAACUCCGUGCCAGCCGCCGCGGUAA